rnacentral:rRNA from 1 species
GGUAACCUGCCUCUUAGCGGGGGAUAACUAUUGGAAACGAUAGCUAAUACCGCAUAAAAGUCGACAUUGCAUGAUGUUGGCUUGAAAGGUGCAAUUGCAUCACUAAGAGAUGGACCUGCGUUGUAUUAGCUAGUUGGUGAGGUAACGGCUCACCAAGGCGACGAUACAUAGCCGACCUGAGAGGGUGAUCGGCCACACUGGGACUGAGACACGGCCCAGACUCCUACGGGAGGCAGCAGUAGGGAAUCUUCGGCAAUGGGGGCAACCCUGACCGAGCAACGCCGCGUGAGUGAAGAAGGUUUUCGGAUCGUAAAGCUCUGUUGUAAGAGAAGAACGAGUGUGAGAGUGGAAAGUUCACACUGUGACGGUAACUUACCAGAAAGGGACGGCUAACUACGUGCCAGCAGCCGCGGUAAUACGUAGGUCCCGAGCGUUAUCCGGAUUUAUUGGGCGUAAAGCGAGCGCAGGCGGUUAGAUAAGUCUGAAGUUAAAGGCUGUGGCUUAACCAUAGUACGCUUUGGAAACUGUUUAACUUGAGUGCAGA